GACGUAGGGUGCGAGCGUUGUCCGGAUUUAUUGGGCGUAAAGAGCUCGUAGGCGGCUUGUUGCGUCAGCUGUGAAAACCCGCGGCUUAACCGUGGGCCUGCAGCUGAUACGGGCAAGCUAGAGUUCGGUAGGGGAGACUGGAAUUCCUGGUGUAGCGGUGAAAUGCGCAGAUAUCAGGAGGAACACCGGUGGCGAAGGCGAGUCUCUGGACACUUCCUGACGCUGAGGCACGAAAGCGUGGGGAGCAAACAGG
rnacentral:rRNA from 1 species